GCACUGCUGAGGAGUCCCACAAUUGGACGAAACAGCCGUCCAGUGC
rfam:Schistosoma haematobium scaffold46_1, whole genome shotgun sequence.